rnacentral:rRNA from 1 species
AUGUCCGGAUCCAACCUUCAAGGUCGAUGGAUGCCCUCCUCUAUAACAGAGGAGGACAUCAAGAAGCUGAGAGAGGCCAUAUAUCUGAUCGAAGAAAUUUCACAUAGGCUGCCUGCCCGAGGGCAGGUUGUCCCUACUCCCGAACCCACUGAGAGUGUCGUGUUCAUCUCCCACUUCCUCCGAGGACUAGGCCUCGCUCUAGAUCCCUUUGUCAAGGGUCUUAUGUUCUACUAUGGGCUGGAUUUCCAUGAUCUAGCCCCGGACUCCCUUCUUCACAUCUCGUCAUUUAUUGUCGUAUGUGAGGCCUUCCUCCGCACUACCCCUCACUCUAGCCUGUGGCUCAAGACCUUCGAUGUGAAGCCGAAGAUGAUCGAGGGGCGGCACGCAGAGUGCGGAGGUGCUUUAAUAAGCAAAAUCGCUGAUGCUCCAUGGCCAGAGGGUUCCUUCCCAGAGGUGUCCGGAUUGUGGCAGUGGGAGUGGUUUUACAUCACAGCUCCCCGAAGUGCCAAGUGGGUAGCCGCCCCCACCUUUCGCUUGGGCCCCCCCACCGCAACUGAUGUCAUGGAUCAGCAGGCGACUGAGCUGGGGUCCAGCAAAGGACGUGCCAAUACUGCAGAGCCGUAUCCGAGAUCUCUUCGAGAGAGAUUUCAGUCUAGUUAUGGUAAUGCAAGUUAUGCUAGUUCGUCGAGCCCAGCCUUGCAAACGUCGGCCCCUCCGUAUGCGGGAAUUCAACCCGGAAGGACCGCGAGCUAUUCAACAUUUCCUCGGCAUGACGCUCGAAGAGAUGUACAAAUCGUUCUUCGAACCCCAAAUAAAGUGUCCGGACACCUCCGAGGAUGUGGGUUUGAGCUGCAACCGCCCUGCUACCCAAGUAAGUAA